rnacentral:SRP_RNA from 1 species
CGGCUGGUCCCUCGCGACGAGAAGCUGUGAACCCCGUCAGGCCCGGAAGGGAGCAGCGGCAACAGUGUAAUCGGGUGCCGAGAAUCCACUGGCCGGGU